UCCCAAAAAUGUUAAUCACAGCUGGAUUGAAAGAGUAUUUGGAAAAUGUGGCAAUGUGGUUUAUGUAAGUAUACCACAUUAUAAAUCUACUGGAGAUCCAAAAGGAUUUGCUUUUGUGGAAUUUGAAACCAAAGAACAAGCAGCAAAAGCUAUUGAGUUUCUUAACAACCCUCCGGAAGAAGCACCAAGAAAACCUGGCAUAUUUCCUAAAACGGUGAAAGAGAAGCCCAUUCCUGUCCUCCAAGUAGCUG